GACGAAUUGGAUGGAGGAAAUUUUAUUUUGAAUAGAAAAUAUGCCUGCAGUUUUAAAAUGUUUCUGGAAAAGCAUGCAUGGUUUAAGAUGCUUUAGCGCCGUAUUGAAUAUUUGGGUGUGGUUGAUUUUUUUCAUGAUGAGGCCCUGUUGAUUUGUAAUUGGUCUGCCCAGUUGUUUAUUCCAUUGGAUUGCAUAAAAACGAAAAAUAUUAUAUGCUUUGCACUAAAAUUCUCAAAUUAAUCUAUUUUAAUAUGAGAGCCGAACGUCAUCCAACGUUUUUUGUUUGACAAACCAUCCAAAUUUUAUUCCAAAGUUAUGGGACCAUUAGUUAUAAAUGUGAAUUAUUAGUUUAUCUUCUUCACAUUAAACAUUGUUAUUCAUUUUGGGAUAUUCCGUAAGUAACUUGCCACCAAGAGCAUUUUUGUAUUCUUUUGGUGUGUGCAUAUUUGUGGUAUUAUGAUUAUAUGUUGACAAUUAAUUUCAGUAUUGUAAUAUGUAUAAAUAAUAAAUAAAUAACUGUAUAUAUACGAUAUGCUAAUGAGAUGUACGCGUGAAAUAGUGAAUCUUUUUUAAAGGGGCAGAAUUUUUAUUUGAUUACCAAAAGCAAAAGAUGACUUUGAAAAAUCAAGUAGUAAGUCGGCAUCUUGAUAGAUAGAUAACAAUUCACGUGGUAAUAAAAUGGAACAAUCUUUAUCAAUAAUUAAUGAGAGAGAUUUUGAGUUAUGUAUCCCGUUCUCUCUCUUCCUUCGGCUAUAAAAAGGCCCGGCAGGUCUCAGUUUCUUCCCACAUCCAAAGAUAGAAAGAUGUAAGGUCUAGAGUCUUGCCUUAAUUCCCUAAUAAAACAUAUAACAUAUUAGAGUAGCUAGAUUUAUCGGUUGAAUUGCUUGUUUUGGACAAGCUAAUGACUUUCAUGAGUCAAGUCACAUGCGCAUAGUAUAUCAAAGUUGGUCUUAUACUAAGGCUUAUAACUAGGUGCGGCCAAUCAACUAGGGCAUACACUCAAAUAUUACACAAAGAGAGAUAGGACUACAGAAAGUUUGAGAACUUGUAUGCCGGAACAAACGAUCCGGACUGAGUUGCAAAAAUUAACGGCAUCAAAGUUGUACUUCAUUUCUCAUAAA